CAACUCCUGUGCUUUCUCCUUAGUCAAAACACCCCAUCUAAUCUGCAGUUACCGAGCACCCCUCCUCUUCCUCUUAACCCAGAGACCGACGUCCAUCACUAGGAGUCUAUGAAAAGUCGAAAGGGACUCUCCCGGGAUAAGCUUGCAGUCCUUGCACAUACCCCUAUCGCUCCUUCUGAGGAGGAGGUAAUCAAUCUGAGUCCU
rnacentral:lncRNA from 1 species